rnacentral:misc_RNA from 1 species
ACCCAUCUCAUGAACUAAGCAAUAGAGAGAGUGAAGAAUUCCUUCAACUCGUUGGAUGAUGUUCCUGUUUUUGUGUUAACAUCGACCUGCCUCGACAUUGGGUAAUACUGAAUAAUGAUUUCUUGAAUCAGUAUAUUAAUAGAUUGGACAGAAAGUUUGAUUCUUUAAAGGUCCUGAUGAUUAAAAAAAAAAACUAGAAGAAAAAUCAUGGAAUCUUGUUAGGGAGGUUUGAAACUACUAAAAAAAGCUUCUCCAUUGAUCCAGUCUUUCA